CAAGAAGAAAGUUGUUUUGUCUGAACCUAGAAACGCCUUGAAACAGGUUUGAUUGAGAGGGACCCAACCUACCAUACCACAAUGGGGUUGAAAAACAGGUUUGAUUGAGAGGGACCCAACCUAACAUACCACAAUG